AGAGUUUGAUCCUGGCUCAGGAUGAACGCUAGCUACAGGCCUAACACAUGCAAGUCGAGGGGCAGCGGGGGCAGAGCUUGCUUUGCCUGCCGGCGACCGGCGCACGGGUGCGUAACGCGUAUCGAACCUCCCCCAUACUCGGGAAUAGCCUUGCGAAAGUAAGAUUAAUGCCCGAUGGUCUCAGAAUAUGACAUCAUGCUUUGAGUAAAGAUUCAUCGGUAUGGGAUGGCGAUGCGUCUGAUUAGAUAGUUGGCAGGGCAACGGCCCACCGAGGCUACGAUCCAUAGGGGUUCUGAGAGGAAGGUCCCCCACAUUGGUACUGAGACACGGACCAAACUCCUACGGGAGGCAGCAGUGAGGAAUAUUGGUCAAUGGGCGAAAGCCUGAACCAGCCAAGUCGCGUGAAGGAUGAAGGCAUUACGUGUUGUAAACUUCUUUAGCUGUGGAGAAAUAAGGUGGUCGAGACCACCGAUGCUAGUACACAGAGAAUAAGGAUCGGCUAAUUCCGUGCCAGCAGCCGCGGUAAUACGGAAGGUCCGGGCGUUAUCCGGAUUUAUUGGGUUUAAAGGGAGCGCAGGCGGAAGAUUAAGCGUGACGUGAAAUGUCCCGGCUCAACCGUGGAACUGCGUCGCGAACUGGUUUUCUUGAGUGAGUACGACGUCAGCGGAAUUCGUGGUGUAGCGGUGAAAUGCUUAGAUAUCACGAAGAACCCCGAUUGCGAAGGCAGCUGACGAGUCCUUAACUGACGCUAAAGCUCGAAAGUGCGGGUAUCGAACAGGAUUAGAUACCCUGGUAGUCCGCACGGUAAACGAUGGAUGCCCCGCUGUUUGCGAUACAAUGUAAGCGGACCAAGAGAAAUUGUUAAGCAUCCCCUCUUGGGGAGUACGCCCGGCAACGGUGAAACUCAUAGGAAUUAAGGGGGGGCCCGCACAAGCGGAGGAACAUGUGGUUUAAUUCGAUGAUACGCGAGGAACAUUACCCGGGCUUGAACUGCAGCAGAACGAUUCAGAGAUGAUGAGAAAAAAAAGGGGCUGCUGUGGAGGUGCUGCAUGGUUGUCGUCAGCUCGUGCCGAGAGGUGUCGGCUUAAGUGCCAUAACGAGCGCAACCCCUCUCGCCAGUUGCCAGCAUGUAAUGGUGGGCACUCUGGCGACACUGCCACCGUAAGGUGUGAGGAAGGUGGGGAUGACGUCAAAUCAGCACGGCCCUUACGUCCGGGGCUACACACGUGUUACAAUGGGUGGUACAGAGAGUCGGUCCAAUGCAAAUUGGAUCCAAUCCUUAAAGCCAUCCUCAGUUCGGAUUGGGGUCUGCAACCCGACCCCAUGAAGCUGGAUUCGCUAGUAAUCGCGCAUCAGCCAUGGCGCGGUGAAUACGUUCCCGGGCCUUGCACUCACCGCCCGUCAAG
rnacentral:rRNA from 1 species